GUAUAUAUGACCCACCUAGGCCUUAUUGACACAGAAGGUUAAACUGCAAGCUUUCUUCUAAGUGUGGAUACUAACAACAACCUGCAUAGAUGCCCUGUUGAAAGUCAGUGAUCUGCUUCUCAGAUUUGUCUCGUCCUUCAAAAUGAAUCUAAAACAGGAAGUAUUCAUGAAUUGACAUGGGUCAACAUACUUCUCACUACCAGGCAAAAAGGAGAAGCCACAACACUUAACUCCUGAUCUGGAGUCUAAGAGGAUUUCUGAGUUCAGUGAAGGGUGCCUGAGAACAGAGUCUGGCAGCUCUGAAGUGACCCCUCCAUUACCUCACCUUUGUACCUUCCACCUUAGCCCUUGGGCAGCUGGAACUUUUAUUACGUUGGAGAAGUACGCUGUUCUAAAUGAUAAUCGAGAGAUCUGACGUUCAUGAAUGAGAGGAACAAAUUUUUCUUUGCACACAUGAAUCCUUUUGUGAGUCCUUGAUGUGAUAAUCCCU
rnacentral:lncRNA from 1 species